GCGUAUCAAAACUUUAGUGUUUAGUUCCCUUUUUCCCCAAAACUCUAGAUCCCCAAAUCUGGUGGAGGGCGGCAGAUUGUGGGGAAAGAGGAAGUCGCGGUGGCGAGGCGUCAGAGCGGGGCUGCUUCGGUGGCCUCGAAUGCUCGGUGGUCGGGAGAGAAAGUCGCAGCGGCGGGGUUGCUUAGGGCAAGAGAUUGAAGAAGAAGACAUUUUUCUUUAUUUUUUUUUAUUUUUUUCUCCCUAUCAAAACGACGUCGUUUUGAACGCGUGGCUUGCCACCGUGUAAUAAAUGCCACGCGCAAUGCCAUGUAGUUUAAAAUAGUGUCCACGUCAUAGCCGGUCAAACAUGAGAGUGGUCGGAACUUUCGCCGGGUGCAAAUUGCAACUAAACCAAAAGGUCAUGUAUUAU
rnacentral:lncRNA from 1 species